rnacentral:rRNA from 1 species
GAUGAACGCUGGCGGCGUGCUUAACACAUGCAAGUCGAACGAUGAAGCCCAGCUUGCUGGGUGGAUUAGUGGCGAACGGGUGAGUAACACGUGAGUAACCUGCCCUUAACUCUGGGAUAAGCCUGGGAAACUGGGUCUAAUACCGGAUAGGAGCGUCCACCGCAUGGUGGGUGUUGGAAAGAUUUAUCGGUUUUGGAUGGACUCGCGGCCUAUCAGCUUGUUGGUGGGGUAAUGGCUCACCAAGGCGACGACGGGUAGUCGGCCUGAGAGGGUGACCGGCCACACUGGGACUGAGACACGGCCCAGACUCCUACGGGAGGCAGCAGUGGGGAAUAUUGCACAAUGGGCGCAAGCCUGAUGCAGCGACGCCGCGUGAGGGAUGACGGCCUUCGGGUUGUAAACCUCUUUCAGUAGGGAAGAAGCGAAAGUGACGGUACCUGCAGAAGAAGCACCGGCUAACUACGUG